UACGUAGGGGGCAAGCGUUGUCCGGAUUUAUUGGGCGUAAAGAGCGUGUAGGCGGCCAUGUAAGUCCGUUGUGAAAACUCGAGGCUCAACCUCGAGAUGUCGAUGGAAACUGUCUGGCUAGAGUCCGGAAGAGGAGUGUGGAAUUCCUGGUGUAGCGGUGAAAUGCGCAGAUAUCAGGAAGAACACCUAUGGCGAAGGCAGCACUCUGGGACGGUACUGACGCUGAGACGCGAAAGCGUGGGGAGCGAACAGG
rnacentral:rRNA from 1 species